GACGAACGCUGGCGGCGUGCUUAACACAUGCAAGUCGAACGGAAAGGCCCUGCUUUUGUGGGGUGCUCGAGUGGCGAACGGGUGAGUAACACGUGAGUAACCUGCCCUUGACUUUGGGAUAACUUCAGGAAACUGGGGCUAAUACCGGAUAGGAGCUCCUGCUGCAUGGUGGGGGUUGGAAAGUUUCGGCGGUUGGGGAUGGACUCGCGGCUUAUCCGCUUGUUGGUGGGGUAGUGGCUUACCAAGCCUUUGACGGGUAGCCGGCCUGAGAGGGUGACCGGGCACAUUGGGACUGAGAUAGGGCCCAGACUCCUACGGGAGGCAGCAGUGGGGAAUAUUGCACAAUGGGCGGAAGCCUGAUACAGCAACGCCGCGUGCGGGAUGACGGCCUUCGGGUUGUAAACCGCUUUGGACGGAGACGAAGCGUGAGUGACGGUAAUGGGUAAAGAAGCACCGGCUAACUACGUG
rnacentral:rRNA from 1 species